UUGAGCUUGAAUCCUGGCUCAGAUUGAACGCUGGCGGCAGGCCUAACACAUGCAAGUCGAGCGGAAACGAUGGAAGCUUGCUUCCAGGCGUCGAGCGGCGGACGGGUGAGUAAUGCAUGGGAAUCUGCCCGAUAGUGGGGGAUAACCUGGGGAAACCCAGGCUAAUACCGCAUACGUCCUACGGGAGAAAGCAGGGGAUCUUCGGACCUUGCGCUAUCGGAUGAGCCCAUGUCGGAUUAGCUUGUUGGUGAGGUAAUGGCUCACCAAGGCGACGAUCCGUAGCUGGUCUGAGAGGAUGAUCAGCCACAUCGGGACUGAGACACGGCCCGAACUCCUACGGGAGGCAGCAGUGGGGAAUAUUGGACAAUGGGCGAAAGCCUGAUCCAGCCAUGCCGCGUGUGUGAAGAAGGCCCUCGGGUUGUAAAGCACUUUCAGUGGGGAAGAAAGCCUUGGGAUUAAUACUCCCGAGGAAGGACUCACCCCA
rnacentral:rRNA from 1 species